GACGAACGCUGGCGGCGUGCCUAACACAUGCAAGUCGAGCGAAUGAAGUUCCUUCGGGACUGGAUUUAGCGGCGGACGGGUGAGUAACACGUGGGCAACCUGCCUCCUAGAGGGGAAUAGCCUUCCGAAAGGGAGAUUAAUACCGCAUAAGAUUGUAGUAUCGCAUGAUACAGCAAUUAAAGGAGCAAUCCGCUAUGAGAUGGGCCCGCGGCGCAUUAGCUAGUUGGUGAGGUAACGGCUCACCAAGGCGACGAUGCGUAGCCGACCUGAGAGGGUGAUCGGCCACAUUGGGACUGAGACACGGCCCAGACUCCUACGGGAGGCAGCAGUGGGGAAUAUUGCACAAUGGGGGAAACCCUGAUGCAGCAACGCCGCGUGAGUGAUGACGGCCUUCGGGUUGUAAAGCUCUGUCUUCAGGGACGAUAAUGACGGUACCUGAGGAGGAAGCCACGGCUAACUACGUG
rnacentral:rRNA from 1 species